rnacentral:rRNA from 1 species
UACAGAGGGGGCAAGCGUUAUUCGGAAUUAUUGGGCGUAAAGGGCGCGUAGGCGGCCUUGCAAGUGGAAGGUGAAAUCCCUCGGCUUAACCGAGGAACUGCCUUCCAGACUGCUAGGCUUGAGACCGGGAGAGGUGAGUGGAAUUCCCAGUGUAGCGGUGAAAUGCGUAGAUAUUGGGAGGAACACCUAUGGCGAAGGCAGCUCGCUGGGACGUUACUGACGCUGAGACGCGAAAGCGUGGGGAGCAAACAGG